GAUUGAACGCUGGCGGCAGGCCUAACACAUGCAAGUCGAACGGUAACAGGAAGCAGCUUGCUGCUUCGCUGACGAGUGGCGGACGGGUGAGUAAUGUCUGGGAAACUGCCUGAUGGAGGGGGAUAACUACUGGAAACGGUAGCUAAUACCGCAUAACGUCGCAAGACCAAAGAGGGGGACCUUCGGGCCUCUUGCCAUCGGAUGUGCCCAGAUGGGAUUAGCUAGUAGGUGGGGUAACGGCUCACCUAGGCGACGAUCCCUAGCUGGUCUGAGAGGAUGACCAGCCACACUGGAACUGAGACACGGUCCAGACUCCUACGGGAGGCAGCAGUGGGGAAUAUUGCACAAUGGGCGCAAGCCUGAUGCAGCCAUGCCGCGUGUAUGAAGAAGGCCUUCGGGUUGUAAAGUACUUUCAGCGGGGAGGAAGGUGUUGAGGUUAAUAACCUCAGCAAUUGACGUUACCCGCAGAAGAAGCACCGGCUAACUCCGUGCCAGCAGGCCGCGGUAAUACGGAGGGUGCAAGCGUUAAUCGGAAUUACUGGGCGUAAAGCGCACGCAGGCGGUCUGUCAAGUCGGAUGUGAAAUCCCCGGGCUCAACCUGGGAACUGCAUUCGAAACUGGCAGGCUAGAGUCUUGUAGAGGGGGGUAGAAUUCCAGGUGUAGCGGUGAAAUGCGUAGAGAUCUGGAGGAAUACCGGUGGCGAAGGCGGCCCCCUGGACAAAGACUGACGCUCAGGUGCGAAAGCGUGGGGAGCAAACAGGAUUAGAUACCCUGGUAGUCCACGCCGUAAACGAUGUCGACUUGGAGGUUGUGCCCUUGAGGCGUGGCUUCCGGAGCUAACGCGUUAAGUCGACCGCCUGGGGAGUACGGCCGCAAGGUUAAAACUCAAAUGAAUUGACGGGGGCCCGCACAAGCGGUGGAGCAUGUGGUUUAAUUCGAUGCAACGCGAAGAACCUUACCUACUCUUGACAUCCAGAGAACUUAGCAGAGAUGCUUUGGUGCCUUCGGGAACUCUGAGACAGGUGCUGCAUGGCUGUCGUCAGCUCGUGUUGUGAAAUGUUGGGUUAAGUCCCGCAACGAGCGCAACCCUUAUCCUUUGUUGCCAGCGGUCCGGCCGGGAACUCAAAGGAGACUGCCAGUGAUAAACUGGAGGAAGGUGGGGAUGACGUCAAGUCAUCAUGGCCCUUACGAGUAGGGCUACACACGUGCUACAAUGGCGCAUACAAAGAGAAGCGACCUCGCGAGAGCAAGCGGACCUCAUAAAGUGCGUCGUAGUCCGGAUUGGAGUCUGCAACUCGACUCCAUGAAGUCGGAAUCGCUAGUAAUCGUGGAUCAGAAUGCCACGGUGAAUACGUUCCCGGGCC
rnacentral:rRNA from 1 species